GACAACAACAAAGCUAGCCUAUUUGUUUACAAAUUUUGCAUAAAUUAAAGUAUCUUCAAGUGCGUAACUAUGCGUGUUUAAUUAUUUAAAAUGCUGCACAAAGAUGUGAGUACAAAUAAUUUUGUAGUUGUUCAAGCAAAUUAUAUUAUAGAGAUUGUAAAUAGCUUCUAAAAACCAAUACUCACGGGCAUCCUUAUCUAUUUGCCUGCCACUAGACUGCUCUAACUGAAGUAUCCUUUUUUAUAGCCUUUAUUGAGACAGUUUGGGUUUUUAGCUACUGCACUGCUACUAUUUGAUUUCCGUCGCCGCUAUGCGGGGCGGAAUCUUUAAAAUCGCCUGAUGGGAGAUAGAUAUAUGUAUAUAUAGAUAGAGAGAGACAGCAGAGAGCCCGGACGCUGUUAAGUUUUUGUCCAGGCUAAACGCCCGGAAAAUUCUAUUUUUUCGAAAGCCAAUGAAGAUGCUUUAUUUUAAUCUCUGUCAAUUAAAUGACCAAUCCGAACAGAGAGUGCACUCUUCGUGUGGCCAGAACAUUCCGUGUGCGUCCAUGACUAAAAGUGCUUACAUUUUGCUGGUCGCCCCUUGACAAAACCAAAGAGGCCAGCUCUUUGGUUUUGUCGUAGUAGCUUUAUUGAUGGGGAGCUAAGCACUACUUUUUAAAUUCGUGUAUUUUAUCAGGUCAGCUGUUAUCAAACCAUGCACCACCAGCAUUUUCAAAAAUGUUCAACAAGAGAGUAAAUUAAAUACUGAAAUGGUAAUAUGUAUGUAUUUAUUGCUGAAUUAAUAAACAAUGAACUACUUCAUCAUUCAAAUUGAGCUCGUUCAGAAGUUAUUAUAUUCGAAUCGUCAAGUUUUUACGUAGCAAGAUUUUUGUAUUCUGGAAUUUCCAAAAUUUUCCUGAUCACUUUUAAAAAUAUCCAGUUAAAGUUUUAACUGUUAUUUUAGAAUACUUCAUAUAGCUAUGUAAAAUUUUUAUUUUUUAUUUAUUGAGUUGUAUUUUAACAUUGUAGGUUAGUUGAAAAAAUAGUUGAGAAUUGUGAUA